UAGUGGGACACUGGCACAAAGUCAUGCCUGUGACGUAGCCAAGAGACAGUAACUACUGAAACACAAGAUAGAGUUCUAAAGGUUACACAGACUUUCACGACUGGGUUUCAGAGGGCAAUGAGAAUGGACUUGCACCAUGUCCAGAAGGGCUGCCAGCAGCACAAGCAAGAAGAUCCUCAUGCUGGAAGUGGCAGACAUCAGCUGAAGGUUCCCCAGACAAAGAAGCCUGCUCUGGGUGAAACGGCCCUGAAGAUAAUGCUGAAACCUUAGGUCCUGGAGAUCACCAACAGGCUGGAGCAUAAAUGAUGUAUUUUGAAGAUAAUUCUACUAGAGCAGCAAUGGUGGAAAAAUGAGUUGGUUUAUAUAGGGGAU
rnacentral:sRNA from 1 species